rnacentral:rRNA from 1 species
UACGGAGGAUGCGAGCGUUAUCCGGAUUUAUUGGGUUUAAAGGGUGCGUAGGCGGACGCUUAAGUCAGCGGUAAAAUUGCGGGGCUCAACCUCGUCGAGCCGUUGAAACUGGGCGCCUUGAGUGGGCGAGAAGUACGCGGAAUGCGUGGUGUAGCGGUGAAAUGCAUAGAUAUCACGCAGAACUCCGAUUGCGAAGGCAGCGUACCGGCGCCCAACUGACGCUGAAGCACGAAAGCGUGGGUAUCGAACAGG